CCGGGAUGAAGUGAACUGUACGACCCCUGGAACGGAGCGUGAGCAAGAACGAGAGGCUCACAGUGUCCUGAAGUCCCAGUAUGAAUCUAUAACCCACAACAAGGAGGCGCUACAGGUUUUCUGGAUGAAGCUGAGACGACAUGAUCAU